AAGGACUAUUUAACAAUUCCUAGAAAUCUCAUAUCGAACAAUUUCUUCUUCGAACUCGAUGCAAUAACUCGAAAAAUUCGAUCCAAAACUGGAAAUAAGCGACAGAAAAUUUCGAACGACGAAGAACGAGAUAUCGACGAUUAUUUCCUCGAUACAAAAUCGAUAAAAACGGUUCUCCAAUUCACGCAGCGCGCAUAUUUUAAAAGCACGAUUUCUCGUCGCGAGAAGGUAUCGGCAAAGGGGGUUGGGUCCCGCGAUAAAACGCAUUAGCCGGGUUGAUUAUUUACAAAUCGCGUACGCGGCGAUUCGUUUCCGUGACCGAUUUUUCGCGGCGAUCGUAAAAAUCGAACGGUGUGCGCCGCUUAACGCGCUAUUCGUUAAAACCGAGCGCCCGCUUUAUGGCACCAUUUGGUCGCCGUCCCUUUUUUAUUCCCCGACAGCCAGAGGACUCGCGUUACUUAACGAUCGCCCCGGUAAUUAAUGACGAACUCGCGGGGUCUGGCCUCCAGUAAUUAAAUCGAAUUUUGCGCGCGGAGAUUCGAACGGGGCAAUCUCGAACGACUAAUUUAUUCUUGGCCGAGAGGAGGCGAGAGUGGAAUGUUAAAUAAGAAUAUAUAGGGUUGGCCUCGAAAUUUCAGUUAGAUUGUCGAA